AGUGAACGCUGGCGGUAGGCCUAACACAUGCAAGUCGAACGGCAGCACAGUAAGAUCUCGCUCCUACGGGUGGCGGGUGGCGGACGGGUGAGGAAUACAUCGGAUUCUACUUUUUCGUGGGGGAUAACGUAGGGAAACUUACGCUAAUACCGCAUACGACCUACGGGAGAAAGCAGGGGAGCUUCGGACCUUGCGCGAUUGAAUGAGCCGAUGUCGGAUUAGCUAGUUGGCGGGGUAAAGGCUCACCAAGGCGACGAUCCGUAGCUGGGCUGAGAGGAUGAUCAGCCACACUGGAACUGAGACACGGUCCAGACUCCUACGGGAGGCAGCAGUGGGGAAUAUUGGACAAUGGGCGCAAGCCUGAUCCAGCCAUGCCGCGUGAGUGAAGAAGGCCUUCGGGUCGUAAAGCCCUUUUGUUGGGAAAGAACAGCUGUAGGUUAAUCCACCGCUGUUCUGACGGUACCCAAAGAAUAAGCACCGGCUAACUUCGUG
rnacentral:rRNA from 1 species